GAUGAACGCUAGCUACAGGCUUAACACAUGCAAGUCGAGGGGAAACGAUAUUGGAAGCUUGCUUCUGAUAGGCGUCGACCGGCGCACGGGUGAGUAACGCGUAUCCAACCUGCCCAUCACUUGGGGAUAACCUUGCGAAAGUAAGACUAAUACCCAAUGACGUCCCUAGAAGACAUCUGAAGGAGAUUAAAGAUUUAUCGGUGAUGGAUGGGGAUGCGUCUGAUUAGCUUGUUGGCGGGGUAACGGCCCACCAAGGCGACGAUCAGUAGGGGUUCUGAGAGGAAGGCCCCCCACAUUGGAACUGAGACACGGUCCAAACUCCUACGGGAGGCAGCAGUGAGGAAUAUUGGUCAAUGGACGAGAGUCUGAACCAGCCAAGUAGCGUGCAGGAUGACGGCCCUAUGGGUUGUAAACUGCUUUUAUAAGGGAAUAAAGUGAGUCUCGUGAGACUUUUUGCAUGUACCUUAUGAAUAAGGACCGGCUAAUUCCGUGCCAGCAGCCG
rnacentral:rRNA from 1 species